UCCUGAUGAACCAACUGCCUCCAAAGCAAUGUUGCAGGGAAGGACUCGGGCACUUGAAAUGUUUUUCUAUUGAACAUUUAGAGAAGCCACUUCAAGUCCACCCACUGUGUUUCCUCUGAUACCAUGUGGUUCUGAAAGUGGAGAUGUUGUCACUCUUUGGCUGCCUUGCCACUGGCUUUAACCCUCCUUUCUCAUGGAACAAAGGCAGCACUGCCUUGAAAGACUUCAUCCAGUACCCUGCAGUUCAAAAUGGCAAUGUUUAUACUGGAGUCAGUCAAAUCCGAGUGAGGAGACAGGACUGGGAUACACAACAGAAUUUUCAAUGUGGUGUCAAUCACACUGUUGGAAAUGGACAGGCUAAUAUCACAAAACCACUGGUAUUUGAGCAGAAUCCAACUCUUAAAGUGAUUUCCUCUCCUGAUGAGGAUGGUACCUAUACUGCCUCCUGCUUUACCAAAGAGUUUGCACCAAAGAAACAUGACAUCAAAUGGCUGAAAAUUGGAGCCGACGUCACCAGCAAAAAAAGAUCCGAUCACUACAGUUUCUGAAACAAGACAGGCAGAUGGAAAGAAAGUGUAGAACGCAGCAGGUUUUCUCACAGUAAAUUCCAAUGACUUGCAUGAAGAUACUGUAUUUAUGUGUAAUUUUGCAGGAGGCCAAAGUGGAUCUUUGAAUAAAACUGACAGAGACUACACACUAGGUAACUGAUUUUUCCACAACUGCCGAUCCA